AAAAUUGGUACUUUAAUAAAAAGGUUAGAUUUGCAUUCUAAAAUUGGUAUAAACCUCAAUUUUA
rnacentral:tRNA from 1 species